AACACGUGUGCACUGCUUUAUCUGGGGGAUAGCCUUUCGAAAGGAAGAUUAAUACCCCAUAAUAUGUUGAAUGGCAUCAUUCGACAUUGAAAACUCCGGUGGAUAGAGAUGGGCACGCGCAAGAUUAGAUAGUUGGUGAGGUAACGGUCACCAAGUCUACGAUCUUUAGGGGGCCUGAGAGGGUGAUCCCCCAAACUGGUACUGAGACACGGACCAGACUCCUACGGGAGGCAGCCAGUGAGGAAUAUUGGACAAUGGGUGAGAGCCUGAUCCAGCCAUCCCGCGUGAAGGACGACUGCCCUAUGGGUUGUAAACUUCUUUUGUAUAGGGAUAAACCUACCCUCGUGAGGGUAGCUGAAGGUACUAUACGAAUAAGCACCGGCUAACUCCGUGCCAGCAGCCGCGGUAAUACGGAGGGUGCAAGCGUUAUCCGGACUUAUGGGUUAAAGGGUCCGUAGGCGGAUCUGUAAGGUCAGUGGUGAACAUCUCACAAGUUAACUGUGAAACUGCCAUUGAUACUGCAGGGGUCCUUUGGAGUCGUCGGNCACGACACGUCAAGCCUUGGGGAAAUAAAGGUCNACGUGGGACACGCNGCGGCUG
rnacentral:rRNA from 1 species